rnacentral:misc_RNA from 1 species
GAUGAAGAACGCAGCGAAAUGCGAUACUUGGUGUGAAUUGCAGAAUCUCGUGAACCAUCGAGUCUUUGAACGCAAGUUGCGCCUCAAGCCAUUAGGUUGAGGGCACGUCUGCCUGGGCGUCACAUAUCGUUGCCUGAUGCCAGUUUCCUCGUGAUGGGUGACUGUGCAGGGCGAAUGAUGGCUUCCCGUGAGCAUUGUUGCCUCAUGGUUGGUUGAAAAUUGAGUCCUUGGUAGGGAGCGCCGUGAUAGAUGGUGGUUGAGUGACGAACGAGACCCAAUCAUGUGAGACCCCUACCGAAUUUGGCCUUCAUGACCCACAUGCGUCUUUGGAACGCUCAUGACGAGACCUCAGGUCAGGCGGGGCUACCCGCUGAGUUUAAGCGUAUCAAUAAGCGGAGGA